GCAAGUCGAGCGGUAACAGAGAUAGCUUGCUAUCUGCUGACGAGCGGCGGACGGGUGAGUAAUGCUUGGGAAUAUGCCUUUGAGUGGGGGACAACAGUUGGAAACGACUGCUAAUACCGCAUAACGUCUACGGACCAAAGGGGGGGAUCUUCGGACCUCUCGCGCUAAGAUUAGCCCAGGUGAGAUUAGCUAGUUGGUAAGGUAAUGGCUUACCAAGGCGACGAUCUCUAGCUGGUUUGAGAGGAUGAUC
rnacentral:rRNA from 1 species